GCUGGGCAUGGUGGCGCAUGCCUGUAGUCCCAGCUACUCGGGAGGCUGAGGCAGGAGAAUUUCUUGAACCUGGGAGUUGGAGGUUGCAGUGAGCCAAGAUCGCACCACUGCACUCCAGCCUGGUGACAGAGUGAGACUCUGUCUCAU
rnacentral:sRNA from 1 species